rnacentral:misc_RNA from 1 species
AGAUCGGCUUCGUCGCUGUCGACCAGCCGCUCGGCUGCGUGCAGCGCGUGCAGUUCAUCGGCAUCGAGCAGCGGAUGACCGGUGCGGAAACGAAUCUGCGACAGCCGCGAUCCUUCGCGCAACAAGACCGGGAAUGUCUUGGGGCUGAUCUCCGCAUAGAGCGGGCCAUGAUAGCCGGGCGCGAUCAUGUCGAAGCGCCGCGUGCCGUCGGCGAUCAC